rnacentral:rRNA from 1 species
AGAGUUUGAUCAUGGCUCAGAUUGAACGCUGGCGGCAGGCCUAACACAUGCAAGUCGAGCGGUAGCACAGAGAGCUUGCUCUCGGGUGACGAGCGGCGGACGGGUGAGUAAUGUCUGGGAAACUGCCUGAUGGAGGGGGAUAACUACUGGAAACGGUAGCUAAUACCGCAUAACGUCGCAAGACCAAAGUGGGGGACCUUCGGGCCUCAUGCCAUCAGAUGUGCCCAGAUGGGAUUAGCUAGUAGGUGGGGUAAUGGCUCACCUAGGCGACGAUCCCUAGCUGGUCUGAGAGGAUGACCAGCCACACUGGAACUGAGACACGGUCCAGACUCCUACGGGAGGCAGCAGUGGGGAAUAUUGCACAAUGGGCGCAAGCCUGAUGCAGCCAUGCCGCGUGUAUGAAGAAGGCCUUCGGGUUGUAAAGUACUUUCAGCGAGGAGGAAGGCGUUAAGGUUAAUAACCUUGGCGAUUGACGUUACUCGCAGAAGAAGCACCGGCUAACUCCGUGCCAGCAGCCGCGGUAAUACGGAGGGUGCAAGCGUUAAUCGGAAUUACUGGGCGUAAAGCGCACGCAGGCGGUCUGUCAAGUCGGAUGUGAAAUCCCCGGGCUCAACCUGGGAACUGCAUUCGAAACUGGCAGGCUAGAGUCUUGUAGAGGGGGGUAGAAUUCCAGGUGUAGCGGUGAAAUGCGUAGAGAUCUGGAGGAAUACCGGUGGCGAAGGCGGCCCCCUGGACAAAGACUGACGCUCAGGUGCGAAAGCGUGGGGAGCAAACAGGAUUAGAUACCCUGGUAGUCCACGCCGUAAACGAUGUCGACUUGGAGGUUGUGCCCUUGAGGCGUGGCUUCCGGAGCUAACGCGUUAAGUCGACCGCCUGGGGAGUACGGCCGCAAGGUUAAAACUCAAAUGAAUUGACGGGGGCCCGCACAAGCGGUGGAGCAUGUGGUUUAAUUCGAUGCAACGCGAAGAACCUUACCUACUCUUGACAUCCAGAGAACUUAGCAGAGAUGCUUUGGUGCCUUCGGGAACUCUGAGACAGGUGCUGCAUGGCUGUCGUCAGCUCGUGUUGUGAAAUGUUGGGUUAAGUCCCGCAACGAGCGCAACCCUUAUCCUUUGUUGCCAGCGAUUCGGUCGGGAACUCAAAGGAGACUGCCAGUGAUAAACUGGAGGAAGGUGGGGAUGACGUCAAGUCAUCAUGGCCCUUACGAGUAGGGCUACACACGUGCUACAAUGGCAUAUACAAAGAGAAGCGACCUCGCGAGAGCAAGCGGACCUCAUAAAGUAUGUCGUAGUCCGGAUUGGAGUCUGCAACUCGACUCCAUGAAGUCGGAAUCGCUAGUAAUCGUAGAUCAGAAUGCUACGGUGAAUACGUUCCCGGGCCUUGUACACACCGCCCGUCACACCAUGGGAGUGGGUUGCAAAAGAAGUAGGUAGCUUAACCUUCGGGAGGGCGCUUACCACUUUGUGAUUCAUGACUGGGGUGAAGUCGUAACAAGGUAACCGUAGGGGAACCUGCGGUUGGAUCACCUCCUUA